UACGUAGGUGGCGAGCGUUGUCCGGAAUUACUGGGUGUAAAGGGCGUGUAGGCGGGGAUGUAAGUCAGAUGUGAAAUCCCAUGGCUCAACUGUGGGGCUGCAUCUGAAACUAUGUCUCUUGAGUGCCGGAGAGGAAAGCGGAAUUCCUAGUGUAGCGGUGAAAUGCGUAGAUAUUAGGAGGAACACCAGUGGCGAAGGCGGCUUUCUGGACGGUAACUGACGCUGAGGCGCGAAAGCGUGGGGAGCAAACAGG
rnacentral:rRNA from 1 species